AGGACGUGGGAGAGAAGUCCUUCAUAUUUGUUACUUCACAGAAAAAAAUCUGUCAGAUGUUCUAUGCCAAUAGGUUGAAGAGAUAAAUGCUCCAGUGUUGCAGGGAGAUCUGCUUGACAGUCAGGCAGCCAGCAGUCACUAACAUUUCUAUAGUUUGGGACACUGCUUGCUCUACAUCUGUGUUCAUUCAUACAGAUAUGUGUGUAGGUAUGUAAGUAAAGAGAGGAAACACUUUUCAGAGAAGGGGGCAAAAGGGAGGGCAAUAAUAAUGGGAAAAGGGAAAAGUACAUGAUUCAUAUGUAUUGAAACUUACAUUUGGCAUUAAGAUUUAGUAAGUACUCUCACGGUAGUGAUAAAAUAUGCACACAGGAGUAACUUGAAGGGUUUGAUUUAGACCAAAGUUCAAUUUCAUUGUCUAUCAUUGUCUUAGGGUUUUACUGUGGUGAACAGACACCAUGACCAAGGCAAGUCUUGAAAAGGACAAUAUAUAUUUGGGGCUAGCUUACAGGUUCAGAGGGUCAGUUCAAUAUCAUCAAUGUGGGAGCAUGGAAGUAUCUAGGCUGGCAUGGUGCAGGCAGAGCUGAGAGUUCUACAUCUUUAUCUGAAGGCUGCUAGUUUAAGACUGUCUUCCAGGCAGCUAGGAUGAAGUAUAUAUAAACCAUUACAUUCCACUCCCUGGUCCCCAUAGACUUGUUCAAACAUGAGUUUAUGGGGCCAUACCUAAACAUAGUAUAAUGCAAAGUAAAUUUAAUCCAACUUCUAAAGUCCCCAUAGUCUAUAGCAGUCUCAACAAUGUUAAAACUUCAAAGUUCAAAGCCUUUUCUGAAGUUCAUCCAAUCACUUAACUGUAAUUCCCAAAGCAAGGCGGAAAUCCAGCUGAGCUAACUCCAAACUCAGCAUCUCCAAGGCUCACGAUCUUCAGAUCUCCAACUCCUUUUUCAUAUUUGUUGACUGCAACAAACUUCUUUCUCCUGAGCUAGUUCCACUCCCUGUUAACAGCUUUCCUUAGCACAUAAUCCAUGGCUCUGGCAUCUCCAUGCAACUUUAAUAUUACAGUUUCUUGUUCCAGUGUCUGGGAUUCACACAUGAUAUUCUGAGUUCCUCAAAGGGCUGGCAUCACUUCUUUAGCUCUGCAGUCUCUAGCACUCUAAGCUCAGGUUGAUCCAUUCACUGUUGUUGCUGUUCUUGGUGAUCAUCCCAUGGUACAGGCAUCUCCAAUGCACUGGGGUCUUCCACUGCAACUAGGCUUCACCAAUAGCCGCUCAAACAAUCUUUUCAUGUUGCCAAGUCAUAACUCUUUUAUCUGAACCUGUCAUACCUGGUACAUCAACUGCAACUAAGACUACACUUUCACCAAGGUCCUUUCAUGGCCUCUCACAGUGCAAAGUCUCAGCUACUCUUUAUGACCACUUCAGACCUUCAAAACCAAUACCACCUGUGUGAUUCUUACACAAUAACAAGGACAGGUGCAUUCUGAGGUACAACCUUGGCUAUCUCUGGAAGAAGCUUCUUUGUACUCUCAGCAAGCACUUUCCAGAAGAUUUCACCUGAGUGAUGCUGCUCUUCUCUUAAUUACCACUAUUUUCUUAGGUCUAGCUAACCAGCAACAAUUGUCCC
rnacentral:lncRNA from 1 species